rnacentral:misc_RNA from 1 species
GAUGAAGAACGCAGCGAAAUGCGAUAAGUAAUGUGAAUUGCAGAAUUCAGUGAAUCAUCGAAUCUUUGAACGCACAUUGCGCCCGCCAGUAUUCUGGCGGGCAUGCCUGUUCGAGCGUCAUUUCAACCAUCAAGCCCCGGGCUUGUGUUGGGGACCUGCGGCUGCCGCAGGCCCUGAAAAGCAGUGGCGGGCUCGCUGUCACACCGAGCGUAGUAGCAUACAUCUCGCUCUGGGCGUGCUGCGGGUUCCGGCCGUUAAACCACCUUUUAACCCAAGGUUGACCUCGGAUCAGGUAGGAAUACCCGCUGAACUUAAGCAUAUCAAUAAGCGGAGGA